rnacentral:rRNA from 1 species
AGUAGCGGCGAGUGAAGCGGGAAGAGCUCAAAUUUGUAAUCUGGCGUCCUUCGGGCGUCCGAGUUGUAAUCUAUAGAAGUGUUUUCCGUGCCGGACCAUGUCCAAGUCCCUUGGAACAGGGUAUCAAAGAGGGUGACAAUCCCGUACUUGACAUGACCACCGGUGCUCUGUGAUACACUUUCUACGAGUCGAGUUGUUUGGGAAUGCAGCUCAAAAUGGGUGGUAAAUUCCAUCUAAAGCUAAAUAUUGGCGAGAGACCGAUAGCGAACAAGUACCGUGAGGGAAAGAUGAAAAGCACUUUGGAAAGAGAGUUAAACAGUACGUGAAAUUGUUGAAAGGGAAACGAUUGAAGUCAGUCGUGUUCUUUGGACUCAGCCGGUUCUUCCGGUCUAUUUCCUUUGAACGGGUCAACAUCAGUUUUGUCCGGUGGAUAAAGGCAGGAAGAAAGUGGCUCCCUCGGGAGUGUUAUAGCUUUCUGUCACAUACACUGGAGGAGACUGAGGACUGCAGCUCGCCUUUUGGCCGGGGUUCGCCCACGUUCGAGCUUAGGAUGUUGACAUAAUGGCUUUAAAC